rnacentral:rRNA from 1 species
CCUACGGGAGGCAGCAGUGGGGAAUAUUGCUCAAUGGGGGAAACCCUGAAGCAGCGACGCCGCGUGAAGGAAGAAGUAUCUCGGUAUGGAAAAUUUUUUUUGCCGGGGAGCAAAUGCCGGUACCUGACUAAGAAGCCCUGGCUAAAUAAGUGAAAGCAGCCGCGGGUACAUGGAGGGGGCCAGCGUUAUCCGGAUUUACGGGGUGUAAAGGGGGCGUAGGCGGGUUAACAAGUCAGAAGUGAAAGCCCGGGGCCCAACUCCGGGACUGCUGUUGAAACUGGCGAUCUCGAUUGCAGGAGAGGUAAGCGGAAUGCGUAGUGUAGCGGUGAAAUGCGUAGAUAUUACGAGGAACACCAGUUGCGAAGGCAGCUUACUGGACUGUAAAUGACGCUGAGGCUCGAAAGCGUGGGUAUCAAACAGGAUUAGAUACCCCAGUAGUC